UUCCUUCAGUAAGUAAAUUCCAGCUAAUUAAAGGUUUCCCUUUUUUCUCAUGGCAAGCAUGUGAAAAGUGUGGUUUAACCUCUCCACACCUACAACCAAGUGCCUUGUCUUCCUGUGCCUUCUGUGACACAUCCUGUUCCAGAACACAGAAACUUACUUGGGCAGGCACUGAAAGAGAAUCAGUAUGCAACCAUAAAGAAUUUGCUUUUAAAAACUGCAUCCUUCCUACUGAAAUGAAGAAAGGUAGAAUUUUCUGUAAAGUGCAGCAUUGAAAUAGGAAGACAUAUCCCCACUUGGAAAGUGCUGAGCUACUGGGAAGCUAUAGCGUGUUUACGGACUCGGCUUUCUGAGCAAUCUCCAGAGCUUGAAGAGAUUACAGUGAUAUUUUAACAAGGCUGCUGGCAUCCAUCACCGGCUUUUACUUACUGAGAAGGCUGAAGGAUGGAAGAAUGCAAUUAUUUCCAUGUUAACUAAAUAUUAGUGGCAGAUUGUCAUGGGAACUUCAACUUCUUCAUCUCCUGCCAGGUGCACAGUCCCUCUGAUGACGCCACAAAUCUGGGAAUGAAGAACUUCUUCGACCUGAUUGGAAAUGGCAUUGCGGAGCUGAAACUUAACUGGAGGAAACAUAGCUCCCGAAGAAGGAAAUAUAAUGCACUUUAAAGAUCUGACUUCUGGUGAAAAAUUCAAGCCUAGAGAAAACUUGUCCGCUUUGUUCAGAAGAAUGGGUUGGACAAUUUUCUUCAGUUCCACAGGAUAUCUGAGUGCCAUGCUGAGCUUGAUCUCUGCAGCAUGCUCUGUGCUUCUCAUCUCUUCCUGAUGCACUGCAUGGUCAGCUCUUUAAAUGCAAGCUCCCUGAAGGGCCAUCUUCAGCACUACCCAUUGCAUAGUCCUAUAUUGCUGAUACUGAACAGCAGUUCCUACCAGCUCUAUGGUAGAUAUUAUCCUGAAGGGGAGGAUAAAGAAACUGGCCACCAAGAUGGUAAUCACUAGUGGAAAUGAAGAAGAUAAAGGCAGUCAAGAAAAGGAAAGCAAAGAAGAAACCAUCUUGGCAAUGCUUGGAAUUAUUGGGACAAUUCUGAACCUCAUUGUGAUCAUUUUUGUGUACAUUUACACAACGUUGUAAACUAGCAGGCAUGCAAAUAGAACAGAUAAAACGGCCAUUAAGAGUGACAACAAACAUUGCUGACUAUUGACAAGUUGUUUAAUCAGAAUUGACUCUGUAUUAUAUUAACACAUCAUAAAAGCACUGCCUGCAGGCAGCGAAGGCUGAAGCACAAUUAAUUUAACAAGACUUCUUCACGCAGUAACAAGCUAAACUCUUCUGUCCUGCCCUCUUCCUUUCGCUUUGGUUUUCGGUUUGGGGGAAACAUGACUGCAAUUAUGUAAGUUGUAGCUUUGAAGAAAUCCACCCGGGUUAUGUUAUUUUAACACAAUUUAAAAAGAGGGGAAAAAAAAGAAAAAAAAAAAAAAGAAACUGUACACUAUAUACAAUUAAAAAUGUAUACUGUAUACCUGCAAAGAUGGAGCUCUAUGAUAGCUACAUAGCACAGAUCACGUGUCCGUUAGGUCAAAUGAUAUUUUUUCUCUUGGUUUAUGCUUUUACUUACAUCGAAUCUGACAGGCUUUUUGUUUAGAAUGAACAUAUGGUGCAAUCAUGAAAAAAAAAAAAAACCAACAAAAAAACCAAUUCUAUUGAGCAAGAUCUGCCUAAAACUGAUGCGAUGUUGGGAGAAAUGUGGUAUGUGGUUAUUUUAACUUUCUCAUUUGCUUAACAUCUGUGUCUGUUCAUACCAAUGUUUAUAAAUAUAUAUUUUUAAUAAAUGUGCUAUAUUUUUAGCA
ensembl:lncRNA